rnacentral:tRNA from 1 species
GCCAUCGUGGUGUAGUGGUCAGCACACUCGAUGCGUAUUCGAGAGAUUCGUGGUUCAAAUCCCAGCGAGGGCA